CCCGUUGGAGUAUAGGGUUAGGUGCGCCCCUGGCCAACGUCAGGCCCGGAAUCGAUAUGUAAUAAAUACACAGACAGACACACAGACAGACACACAGACAGACACACAGACAGGCACACAGACAGGCACACAGACAGACACACACAGACAGGCACACAGACAGACACACAGACAGACACACAGACAGGCACACAGACAGACACACACAGACAGGCACACAGACAGACACACAGACAGACACACAGACAGACACACAGACAGGCACACAGACAGACAGACAGGCACACAGACAGGCACACAGACAGACAGGCACACAGACAGGCACACAGACAGACAGACAGACAGACACACAGACAGGCACACGUACCCUAGGAAACUGCUAAAGUCACAUGCCUAAUAGAACUACCGCACCGCACAUGAACUCAUCUCCCUCACGCAACCCCAUCGUCGGGUCUAAUCACCUGCGCCGCUAGUUCGGGAAAUGUCAUAUCGUCAAAACCCUAAGUCAAGAUCUUUGUAGCUACUUUGUUCAGAAAUGUCUCGUGCUUAGGAAAACACGAUAUUAGGAAAACACGAAACAAUUCUAAACGAAGUGCCCAAAUACACGAACCAUGGAAAAAUCCCAGUCCUUAGCACUGGACGACUUCUACAAAUCCUGGGUCGACUGCCGAGGUAUCUGGUCCUUAGCGACUCACGAGGGCAAAAAUCCGACGGUUUGUAAACUGAUGGCAUUUUUGGUAAAAAAGAAAACUACCCACCGAGACACCCACAUUUCUUCCGUCAUGCUGGCCUCCCCCAUCCCCCUCACCCCCAACUCCCCACCCAAAACCCAACCUCACUAGCUCACACAUGCGCGCCCCUCUCACGCCGAUAUAUGCCGCGCCGCGCGCUUCAUCUUCCGCCGCCGCUCUGCCUCCUGCGUAACCAUAGCCUCGCGCUUUCGCCGCUUUCGAUCUGCCGCCGACGCGGAGCUGCCCAAGGUCGUGGGCUUGUCCAGCAAACAAAAGGAAUGAGCCACAUGGCCCAGGUGCAGAUUACGAACCGCAAACACUCGCUUCAAGUCGCCUGAGUGUGUGGCGUACGCGCGAACGAAGGACCGGAAGGCGUCAUUCGCCAGCUUGGCUGCGUGAGGAUCGUGCGACAACGCCAUCGCUACACGGCGGUGAAGCUGCUGAGCCAGCUGCCGUGCGGCGGCGCCGCUGGCGCCGCCAGCGGCGGCGGAGCCGCCGCCGCCACCGCCGCCUCCUUUCAGCGG
rnacentral:lncRNA from 1 species